rnacentral:rRNA from 1 species
UACGGAGGGGGCUAGCGUUGUUCGGAAUUACUGGGCGUAAAGCGCGCGUAGGCGGCUUUGUAAGUUAGAGGUGAAAGCCCGGAGCUUAACUCCGGAACUGCCUUUAAGACUGCAUCGCUAGAAUUGUGGAGAGGUGAGUGGAAUUCCGAGUGUAGAGGUGAAAUUCGUAGAUAUUCGGAAGAACACCAGCGGCGAAGGCGACUUACUGGACACAUAUUGACGCUGAGGUGCGAAAGCGUGGGGAGCAAACAGG